rnacentral:lncRNA from 1 species
CGCCCGCCGCCCUCCGGAGCCGAACGCUCCCCUGAUCCCCCCGGCACGACUCCGCGCCGCUGUGCCCGGAGAGCGGAGCUGUCAGCGAGGAGCUGCAGCCGCCACGAGGCCGCGCCUCCGCCUCCCCUGCUCUGCGCCGAGCGCGCCCCGGGCGCUCAGCCCUUCCCCAGCUCUCCUUCGGGCUCUCCCCGAUCCAUCGCUCCCGUAGCACGAAGGUCGCUGCCGGCGCUGCCCGCUUCCCGUUCAGCCGGGAGAGGGAGCCCGGGAGCGGAGCCGGAGCCGUUCUGCCUCCGUAGCGCCUGAGGUCGCGCUCUGUUUUAUUUUUCACUUUAUUUUUUUAUUCUUAUUUAAAGAGAAAGGAGCGCGGGGUGCUGCCAUUUAGGGCCGCGUGUCGGUGCUUUGUGCGCCCUCCGGUAGGCAGCGGGAUGAGGAAUGUCCCCGGCUGUGUUGGAUCCCGGCUCCGUGCUGUGAUCAGCAGCAGUGCCUCUGCAUGCUGGAAGGACAGCAGCUGUCUCUGCAUGAGGAUGUGUGCCUGGCAGGAUUGGUGCUUGUGGGGCUGUGAGAGCUGCUCAAGGACCUGUGCUGCACAGGCAGUAAGCAGCACAGAUGGAUGUACAGCAUCGAGGAAUGCUUGGUGCAAAUGGAUCAACAGAGUAUCUUUGCUUACAGGAAGAGCGGUUGCUGAGGUUGGAAAAGACAGCCUGGUUGUGAAGUUUUUUUGCAUUUAAUUUCCCAAUUAUAAAUAAUCAAUGUGAUUUACAAAAUAAUUUACAGAAAAUGAUUGGCUUCAUCAUUGCAAUAAAUUACUGGGUAUAAUGCCA